GGAGUUAAUCUGCUGAUUUUGCAAUGUGUAUAUGCAAAUUAGUUUUUUUAGAGAUUCCCGAAUGUUAGCAUUUUGUUUUCCUUCCCCAAAGUUCUACCAAAAAGCAAGGUUUUGUGUUUGUUUUGUUUGUUUACCUGUUUUUUUGCUUAACUGUGCUCUGAAUUCUCCUGUACUGAAGUCUAAACUGUUUUUAGUAGCUCCUGUGGGGUUCACCACACUCGGAUGGACUCAGUCCAGACAGACUGGGAGACCACACCUAGGGCCUUGGGCUCAGAGCUUCUGGUUCUGAUGAUGACAUGCCUCUGCGCUGGUCCUGCACUCUACGUGAAACUGUGCCUCUGAUCCUGAGACUAGAUCCCAGAACACACCGUCCGGCCAGCCCUGUGUUGCGGGGAAGGCACUCCAGGGAUGGUGCAUGCUGAGUAGUCGAACACUUCACAGGCGACAAGUACAGCUGAUGCUUCUCACUCUUGCCUUAGCACCCCUGAGCCACCGUUGACAGUCACUGGCGAGUUGUGUAGCUGAGCCUGUAAACACAGCUUGUGUGGCAGGCAGUCAUUUCUACAUUUGCAUAAACUCUACAUGGUAACCUUUCCUUUGGGCACAGAUCUGCUGUCAGGUGCUUCAUAAAUACAAGUGAACUUAGGCUGAGAAGAUUGGGCAGGUUCUUUUGGAUGAGUGCAUAACCCACCAAUAGAUUCCAUGAGACAUGGAUAAACCUCUCUUGUAGCACACUAUUUAAAAAAGUAACUUUCUGGGCCCAGUUGUGUGUACUGCUGUACACGCAAUAUCUAAUAGGAAAUUAAAGUUCGGCCUGUUUAACUUUGUCUUCACGUUUUCUGAGACCUCUGCCCUCCUGCUCCUGAAGUCUUAAAGUCAUUUUCAUCUGCAGGGUCUCUGAGCACAGGCCUUGACUAUAGUGAUGAACGUGUGGGGUGUUGAACUGUUUAUCUUCCAAGGAGGGACCAGACCAGUGUGACUUAAGAUGCUGCAGUUGUGUUACUGUGAAGGAAACUUCCACUUUCAGCAAGCUCUGUGUGUGUGUGUGUGUGUGUGUGUGUGUGUGUGUGUGUGUGUGUUCAUUUUGGCUUUUUAAAAAUGUUGAAAAUUGAGGAGAACAUGAUUUCCUUCACAAAUUAUUUAUAGAUACACUGGGCAUGAUGCUUACUGUAGGCAAGCACCAGGGAAGCAUGAGUUCAGUGCUUCGUCGUGUAAUAUGUUGUCUAUGACCCAGCCAGCAUUCUGCUGGGCACUGUGUCCGAUAACUGUAAACCACCUGGUUUAUAAUGCUAGUGGGAACCGAUUUGUUUUAUAACGGAAUACAGAGCAGACAUAUAACAGGAUCAGGAUUAUCCCACGCUUGUAAAUAAGAAUGGGGCCUGUUUAUUUUGACAUCUUUUUACAAAUGCAUUGUAUUAGGAUGUGAAUAUUCCAAAACACGCUCUUGUUUAAAGUUUUGAAAUUUUUAUUGUUAAAUGUAACAUUUUGAUGGUUGUAAUAAUUAUUUGUAUAGAUAUGAAUAUAGUAUUUUAUUUAAGAAAAUAAACUUUGCAAUUUUUGCAUUG
ensembl:lncRNA